UUUUUUUUUUUUUUGUAUAAAUCACAGAUAUUCACAUCCGUUUUACGGUUUGCGACUAAUUAUAUUCGAACAAAGUCAAGCCCUUUAUGGGGGAGAAACUCUUCCAACAUUGUUCUUUUCAUUCCUAUGGAUUUUGUACCCUAGAUUUCAUGAUUAAGGUAUGCAAACUCUCCUAACAUUUUAGAUCUCAUUGAUCUCUUGAAUGUUAAACUUAUUAAUAUGUAUUUAAAGAGGGAGAAGAUAAUUUCAUAGCACAAAUUGACCUUUCGUUGUCCCACUGGUUAUUUUAGUAUGAAAUUUUAUGUUAGCAAAAGAUUAGAGACUAAGGAAAAUAGUCAGUGGUUGAAAGUUUAAUGCCAAAAAAAAAAGUAGCAGCAACCAUAUGCAUUUUAUUGUCCAUGCAACGACUACUAUUGUCGGAAUUGAAUUGAAAGGAAGUCGGUGGUGGAAACAAUUGAAACUUUUUCGGAAGUGCCAAAAGCAAUAAAAAAAAAAGGAAAAAUUUUUGAAAAGUACAAGUAUUUCCUCUUGAAGCUUUGAAGGGAAGUCAUGCAAUUGGCUAACAUCUUUUAGCGUAAAGAAACGAAAUUGUGGCUUUAAUCUAAAAGCCAUAAUCAAAUUUUUAUAGUUAUUGAGAAACUUGAGACAUGCUGAGCCUUUUGUUUUGGAAUAUGCAUAUUCUUCCAGUGUUAUAAAAGCAAUGAAGUGACGAGAUAAGCGUCUAAAGAUAUGCAGUUGGUACAUGGAUGCUAGAAAACUGUGCCUUUUUACACACUGGCUCCUAAAUGGUGCCAAAUUUCUAAUGGGAUCUUCCUUAAUAAUGAGGCAAAACUUUAUGACGAAAAAGAAGAAAAAGAAAAAGAAACGUGGCAGAUUUUUGGCUGAGAAAAUAUACAAUAAGCCUAAAGUGCUAAAGGUUGACCUGUAGGAAGGCCUUUUCUAUUUUGAUUUUUGUGCCAUUACGAGUAGAAAUCAUCAUCCACGAUGGUUUACACUUUUUGAAGGUAAUGUACAUGUUACGUCAGCAUUCCACUUUCUCCUAUUUUAUUAUACUCUCAUUCAUAAUGGAUUACAUUUUACAAAGUGUAAUAGCAUGGAUCCAUAAUUAAAUUAAAUAUUUAUUUUAAUAAUGCAUAACUCAUAUUGCAUAAAUAAAUAAAGUAAUUUUUUAAAAAUAAUUUUGUUAUUUUUAAAAAAUAAAUUAUUAACUUUCAUUGAAUUUUUUACCUUUUCGAAUCCAUGGCCGUAUUUCAUAAUUGGGUUUCGAAUCCAUGGCCGGAUUUCACACCUGGCCCACCCAUUACACGCAUCAUUCUGAUGAUGAGUGUAAUGAGCAUUACACGGCCACAAUGGGUGUCUGUGUAAUGGACCUAUGUCAUGGCAGGUAUUACACGCAUCAUUACACUCCAUUGUGGAUCAUAAAAACUAGAUGGAAUGAAUUUAUUAUAAAAUUCAAACAUUACCAACCGCCUCCUGAAUUGUGUAAACUUUUGCUUAUUAACCAUAUAUUAUAAGAGUAAAGAUCCCUUCCAUCUCACCUUGGUCGCCCGCCCAUGUGGAAAAAGGGGAUUGGCCUCCUGGUGAUGUGGCAAAUGGAGAUUGGUAGAAGGAGAUAGACAUGACCGCUAUUUUAGAAUCGAAUUCUAAAAGAUAGAACCUGAACCAACUCUUAUAAGGAUGGUUACAAUUACAAUUGUUAAACCUCUUAUUCCAGUCCGAUUUCGAUUUCGAUUUCGAUUUUAUUUCAAUUAGGUUUGAUUUUUUUGGAUUACGAUUCUAGUUCUUUUAAUUAUGCUUAAACAUUUGGUGUCAUAAGAUUGAUUUUGAGAAGAUAUGACAGUAAAUGUAGAAAAAAAUAAGAACUUUGUUGCAUUAUCAUGUGCAAGGAAAAAGAAAAAAUGAUAUAAAAUUUAUGAAAAAAAUAUCUUAUUUCCAUGCGAGAUUUAUUCUGAUAUCAUUUGUAACGUCCUGUGCCUGUUAGAUUGGCCCACUAAUCUUUUGAGCUAAAACCACUUGUUCAAAAUGGUUAAUCCAAAGUUAUUAGUAACCUGACCGACUAGAUGUUAUAAAGGAAUGCUUAUAUUUUUUUGGUCGCUGUAGGACAUUACAUAGGGAGCGAGUGGAGUCUUAUUCAAACUAAUACUAAAUUAUACAUAAGUCUAUACAAUAAGUUAAUUAAACUAAUACCCAACAACGUAUCAUAUAAUAGCAAAAUAUUUUGGCGAAUAUAUAUUAAGAAAAUCCAACUAGCUAAAAGUUGAGUAUUGAGAAAACAGGAAGAUUGGAGUAAUUUGGAAAGAAAAAUAUGCACAUGAAUUUAUCAAAAUUAAAAGUACAAUAAUUCACUGAGUGGGACAAAAAUAUACAUUUUUUAAGUUCGGGAUGGUAAAGUGAUACAAAAAUAUACUAAUCGACCUUUAUUAUAUAUAUCUAAUUAUAUGGCUCCUAGCAAAACUUGCUAUAUAUCUGUAAAAUGAUUGCCAUAUAAAGUAACCAAUACCUUCUCUAUAUAGACCUUCAAUGCCUACUACAAUCAUUCCCACAUGAGUAACAUGACACUAUCCAUAUUUCUAAAUUAUUAUUUGCCUGUCACAUCUAAUUUAACCAUUUGAUACUCAUGGGUACAAGAAACGAAUCUAUCACUAUAAUGUUGAUAAAAUGUGAAUUUACUCAAAAUAUUGUUUUUGAUAUGCCUAAAAUAUUUAAUUAGUUCUAUUUUGUUAUGCCUAAAAUUUUCUAAUUAGUUUUCUACAUUUAUUAAUUGUCUACCCUGACUACUUCAUUUUUAUUUUCUCUGCUACUCAUUAUCCUAGUUAUCAGGUUUAUACUAAAUUUACUUUGAGAAAACUAAGUCUAGAAUGUUUCAUAAUUAUAAUAUUGAUUAGUAAUUAGUCUUUUGAAUUUCUAGUUAUCUUCUUUGUCCUUAUCUCCUAAGCUAAUAUUAUUCUUAAAUUGGUUUAUUAAACUAUUUAUAACUUCUUCAACUUUAGUUUUUUUGUCUUAACUUUUUUUUAAUAUAUUUUUGUUUCUAGAUUAUUUAAUUUUUCACAAAUUUUUAAUACUAAUAAAAUUUAUAUGUUGGAUUAUCUAGUUUGUAUUUGAUCUCUCUUGCUUAUUCCUUGAUACUUAUUAAGUGCUUUCGGAUCUUCGUGAUAUUUUUUUUGCUUCUUUUUGUGCUUCUACGUAUUCUAGGUUAUUCAUUCACCAUAUGUAAUCUUUUAAUUUUUCUAAUUUCAUUCCAAAUUUUCUAAUUUCUAAACUUGCCCAUAAACCUGACUAAUUUGUUUAUCUACAUGUUGUAAGGAAUUUCUUAUUUCAAUUUCUAAUGUUUUAGGUGCCUUGGGUUCUUGUUUAAACAAUAUGUAUUACAAGAUUCAAAACUUUCUUCCAGAUUAUUUGUUAGGUUAUUGUCACUUUACUCCCUUAAAUUAUAUCACUAUUAUUAGUUUACUUUCUAACGUUAUCUUUUAGUCACUUCACUCUCAUAAGUAAUUCAAUUCAAUAUGUUAAGAGAUUUUGGAUAAAAAUAUCCUUUUAUUCUAUAGCAUUACUACAUUGUUAUUAUCACUUUAUCCCUAUAAAUUAUAGUGAUACGAUUGAUUUAAUCCCAAACAUUAUUUUCUAGGCAUUUUAUCUCAUCAUUAAUCUAACUAGUAUGGUUAAAAUUUUUUAUAUGUAUUUACCCUUUAUACAUAUAAUUAAAAAUAAAAAGUUGGCAUGGUUAUUCUUCUUUUUUUUCACUUUAAGAGAUCCAAAAACAUAAAAAUAAAAGAAUUUUCUCAAAUUUCUUUUUUCAUAUUUAUUAAUACUAGGAAAAGAAAAAGGGAUAGGAAAGAAUGAGAUAGAAAAUUAGAUUUUGCAAAGAAAAAAAUAAAGAAGAGUCUAAUAUUAUCGUAUUAGUUUAAGGUUGUCAAAAUUAGGAUUGAAAUUGAAUGGUAAACAGAAAAAUAAAAUAAUUUUAAAAUAAUAAAAAUAUUUAAUUCUUUCUUAUUUUUUUUAAAAAAGAAUUGAGCUCGCUCCCCCACUCGCCUCCUCCUUCCUAUCUUUCUAUUUUUUUCAAUAUUAAUAAGAUUGUCAAGAAGAAAGAGAUUAAUACUUUGACUUUUUUUUCUUGAUACUAAAAAGAAGAAAAGUCAUUCUAAAUUUUUUAUUAUUUUUAUUAUAUAAAGAGGAGGGUACUUUCUUCUAAAGUUUCUUAACUUGUUAAGUUAAUUUAACGGCGGGAUAAAUUGCCUAAAAAACAACUAUAAGAGAUAAAUUGAUAAUGAAACUAUAGUUCAUGGGGGUAAAGUGAUAACAAUUUUAAAGACUAAACAUGUCUUUUCACUUUAAUUAACAAAUUCCGCUAAGUUUGACCAUUAGUUUUGGGGGUACAAUGACUAAAAUGUAACAUUAAGGGGAAAAUUGAUAGUUACAUUGAAUAUUAAGAAGGUAAAGUGAUAAUAACCUUUAUUUGUUUUACUCUUUUAUGUAAGAGUAAAUAACCAAAAUGGUCACUAAAUUAUUCAAAAUAGCACGUUUUGGUCAUCAAAAAAUUUUUUUUUGUGGCAAAAAAAGUCACUCAACUUCCUAAAACAGACUAUUAGAAUCAUUUUAACUAAUUUAACCUGUAAAUCAACUAUAAAAAAAAGCAAACUUGACCUAUUAUUGUAGGUUCUCAGGAUAGAAACAUCCUAUUUUAAUUGACACAAUUUUUCUUGAAAGAAAAACCAAAUUUUAGGGGUUAAUCCAUAUUUUAGCCAAACUUUAUAGGAGGUAAAUGGAAUUAAUAAAAAUCACCAACAACGUCACUCUCGCUCUUCCUCCUCCUCCUCCAGCAGCACCACAGCACUCUCUCUCCUCCCCUCCCCUCCUCUCUCCCGCUUCCCCUCCCCUUCAUUCCUUCCCCUACGACUAGAUCUAAGUUUCAAAAUAUCCCAAACCGGGUUAUGAAGAAAUCAUAAGCUAGGCAGAGAGGAGGAGCAAAAAUCCAUCUCCUGGCUGCUUCAUUCUAUGAAGCUAAAAUUAUGUAAAGCAAAAACAGAAAAAAAAAAAAAGAAGCUCAGAUCUGACCAAAAGAAUAGGCAAAGAGGGAGGAACCCAUUGAAAAUAAUUUCAAAUUGUUUGGAAUACAUAUUAUUUACACUUUAUUUAUACACACUGACUUGUUUAUAUCAUCAACACAAUUUUCAAUCACCUUUUAUCUCACAUAUAUCACAUUAAGAAAGUGUUACAAUAUUUUUUCAAAAAAUUAUCCCAAACAAUCUCCUAUCCAAACACACUAAUUGCCAUCAGGAGCCAAAUCACGGACCCGUAACCGUCAUGUGCAAAUUACAGCUCAAAUAGAAAGUAUCAUCACAGCCUAAUAUCAAAGUAGAAGACAAAGAAGAAGACGAUGACAAUGACAGUGAUGAUCUUGAUGCACAAAGAGUGAAAUAAUAAUGGGUUUGUUUGGAUUGCUGUUUAUUUGCCAAAAUAUAUUUGUUUGCAUCAUCGUUACAAUUUCAACACACCUUUUUAUCUUUCCAAUUAACUUUUUAUCUCACAUACAUCACAUCACAAAAAGUGCUACAGUAAAAAUAUCUCUAAUAAUUCACAAUCCAAACAAACCCAUUAAUGAUAAUGACGAAGAUUGCUUUCUUUCGUAUUUUACUUUCCAAAGGCUGUUCAAGUGAAAGGAAUGAGGAGGAAGGGUUGCGUGAGGAAAAGGGCAUUUUUAUCCCUAAAAACUUGCAAUUCCAGUUAAGGGAAAAUCGCCAAUUUAGUCCUCAAAUUAUUUUACUAAAGUCGAUUUGGUCCCUCAACAUUUUAUCGCACGAAUUAAGUCCUUUAACUAAAAUUCUUAUGCCAAUUGAGGACCUAUAUGACGUCGCCACCCAAAACACAUGUAUCUGUACAGAAACCAACGGCAAGGCAGGGGUUUUUUGGAAGUAAAAAAAUACGAUUUCUGCAUCCUCCUCUUCGUCUUCUUCAUCGGCAAUCGUUUCUUCUUUUACGGGUGUUUUUGGGAUUUCACCGGUUAAGCCGGCUUCCAUCAUCCCCUUCUUAAAGGGUCUAAGUGGUUGCCCUUUCUUACAGGGAUCUAAGUGGUCCCCCUUCUUACAUCUUUGCCGCAUUUAAUCGUUACUAGAAAUUUUGGAGCAACUGGAUACCCAAGCUCAAUUUCCAAUUCCAGUUCUGAUUUGAAUGUUUUGUUUUUGUUCUUGCCUAUUUCCAGUUCCUGUUUUUGAAGGUUAACCCUUGAGCAAGCUGGCACUGUCGGAGGUCUUAAGGCCAAGAUAUCCCCUGAAGGUUAAUCCCGUGGACUAGUCAUAUGGACUUUUCUUCUGGGGAGUAUUAUUUUAUUUUGCAUAUACGGUUGGCACAAUAUUUAUUUUGUAAUUUUGAGACUUAUGCGGUCAUGUGUGUGUAUAAUUAGUUCACAUAUAUUUCACAACUAGCAUAAAUUGUAUACUGUAAAUCUUCUUAAUGAAAGUGUGAGGAACGCUUAGCAAGUCAACCAGAACAACUCUGCGCUUUGAGCUCUAUUUUGCUUGCAGCUGACUUUUCGCUUGACUAAUCGAUCAAAGACUCUGCCUUUAGUUUCUUAUACUUGUCAUUUUACAUUCACACGCUCUACCUUUGGUUUCUUAUGCUCAUCAUUUUUGUCGUUCAUAAAUCAAGAGGUCUUUGAUUGUGAAUCUAAGCAGCAGAUAAAAACGGAAACCCACUUCAGGGUAAGUCCUUACCUGUGGAAAAUUAUGCAAUCACCACCAUGCACUGAGCACAUGGAUGUAUGUAGUUUCUGAUUGCCAGAAAGGAAGCCUUGGAUUCAUAUGUAUACUAGAGAUGUUCUUCGAUAAGAUAAAACUGCACAUUUUCCACUUUCCACUUAGAUAAUGUGAUAUCAGCUACACCCAAUACCAAAUCUACAACCCAACAAGCAUAACACAAAAAGAAAAACAUUUAGGAUUCUUCAUCAAUGAGAAUCUCCGAAUCCACCACGGUAUGCAAAUUGCAGCAAAAGACCCUAACGUAUGUAUAUGUACAGGUUUCUGGGCAAGGAACUUCACUGGUAGACCCGAAGGACACAUGCUACCGAGCUUGGUUGUCAACAUCUUCUGAGAUGUUGAAUGAGAACUGAGGCAGAGAUGCUAUCCUUGGAA
rnacentral:lncRNA from 1 species